rnacentral:rRNA from 1 species
GAUGAACGCUGGCGGCGUGCCUAAUACAUGCAAGUCGAGCGAACGGACGAGAAGCUUGCUUCUCUGAUGUUAGCGGCGGACGGGUGAGUAACACGUGGAUAACCUACCUAUCAGACUGGUAUAACUUCGGGAAACCGUAGCUAAUACCGGAUAAUAUUUUGAACCGCAUGGUUCAAAAGUGAAAGACGGUCUUGCUGUCACUUCUAGAUGGAUCCGGGCUGCAUUAGCUAGUUGGUAAGGUCACGGCUUACCAAGGCAACGAUGCAUAGCCGACCUGAGAGGGUGAUCGGCCACACGGGAGCUGAGCCACGGUCCAGACUCCUACGGGAGGCAGCAGUAGGGAAUGUUCCGCAAUGGGCGAAAGCCUGACGGAGCAACGCCGCGUGAGUGAUGAAGGUCUUCGGAUCGUAAAACUCUGUUAUUAGGGAAGAACAUAUGUGUAAGUAACUGUGCACAUCUUGGCGGUACCGAAUCAGAAAGCCACGGCUAACUACGUG